CUGACUUUAUAAAUGGCUUGGUUAAACACGGGGAUGUUAUCGUUAGCAUCCAGCACAGUGAUGUGAAUAACUACGGUCCCAGACCUCUGAGGCGUCCCUCCGUCGGCAGCUCAUCCUCCUGUACAGUCUCGGUCUCUUCGCCUUGAACCCGCCACAGCAAACAUGACAAGCCCCCAGUCCUCCCUGUCUCUCCCUCAUUUUGCCCUGAAACCACAGAGCAAACAUGGUGGUCGGGGUCAUGGGGCUGGAGCCUAUCCCAUAAUUCAUUUGGCGAGAGGAAGGAAUACACCCUGAGACAGGUUGCCAAUCCAUUGCAGGGCACACACACACACCAUUCAUUCACACACUCAUUCCUACAGGCAAUUUAGAGUAUCCAACUAGCUUAACCUUCAUGUCUCUGGACUACGGAAAGAAACUAGACUACCCAGAGGAAACCCAUGUGGACAUUGGAGGGAACAUGCAGAUUUAAACCUGAAACUGUCUUGCUGUUCACAGUGCUAUCCACUGCAAUACUGUGCUGGACUAACUUUGUGAUUAUUGCACAAAUAUAAUUGCAUUCAAAUCAUAUCAAACAACUCACUUUCAAAUGUAUCCCUCUAGGCUAUUCAACAGGCUGGCAUAAUUAUUAGUCAACAAUUGUGUGUGCACUACAGGGACAUAUCUGUGCUAAUCAAUAAAAAGAUCCUUGAAAGACAAUUUACCUAUAAUACACAUAUUGCUGGUGAACAGGUGCUUAUAGCUAACAAUGAAGAAAAACAAAAAAUCUAAUAAUUCAUUAACAAUAUACUUGCAGCACACCUCCAAAUGAAACGGCUAAAAUAGUCCUAUUGCAAAUUGGGAACACAUUGAACGUCCACUUGAAGUUCUUCGGCUACAUGAAAAUGCUUAAUCACCGAGUGUCAAAUUAUCCCAGUGUACUUUAUGCGUUUGAUUUGGCGAUAGCUACCUAGCUACCUACAAACUAGUAGCCGUUGCUUGAAUGCUGGAAGUUCCAGCAUUAAUUAAACUAAAUUAUAUUGUCUCGCUAACGUGCAUACUGCAGCCUACCAUAGAUAUACGUGUGCUCCCUACUGGAACGUUCACAGCUGGUUAAAGGCUACCUAACUUUACAACGAUGUAAACCACUAUAUUUAACUUUAGUUAAAUAAUUUCGCGAACAUGAAUGUCUCAAAAUUACCUUAUCACAAACAUUGUGUUCUUGAAGAAAAAAAAAAAAAGGUUCUCCACACAACUACAGUUUAUCAGACAGAGAAAAGGGCGCGCUUUACACUUCCGUGCCUGAUUUGUAACAACAAACUAGUGCAUUAAUGUUCCCGUUAAAUGAAAGAUUUCGAUGCUAAUAACUAGGAAGGAAAGAAUCGACUCUUGCGGAAAAAAAAUCUUGCAAGAAUUAACAUUAUGUUAAAUGUAGAAAUACGCAUGAUAGCCUGCAUAAAACUGACAAGGUGUACGUUCGGGUUGCAAGAACUCGCACUGCUGUUGCAAACGUGCAUUGACUUUCCAGAAAUUUAAAAAAACGGAAGCUGUAGCGGCCGACUGUGACGUCAGAUCCGUUGCUCAGAUUUUGAUCGUUCCAUCAGUGGUAAUCGCUGGGAAAGGUAUCCUUAUAAAAAUGUAAAUAUCAAAAGUAACACAAUCCCAUACUAGGCGAAGCUACUAGCCAAAUUUGCUUGGUCUAUCUCAAAAGCUGUUGGAGCAGUAGAGUACAAUUGAUGUGCAAUUCUAAGAAAUUGUAAGAAAUUGCAUUGGUAAAUGGACUGCAUUUAUAUAGCACUUUUAUCCAAAGCGCUUUACAAUUGAUGCCUCUUAUUCGCAAGAGCAGUUAGAGGUUAGGUGUCUUGCUCAAGGACACUUCAACAUGCCCAGGGUGGGGUUUGAACUGGCAACCCUCCAACUGCCAGACAAUCGAUCUUACCUCCUGAGCUAUGUCGCCCCUUUUCAAGCUAACUUAAUAAUCAGUAGGCCUACAUAAGGAUUAUUUCAGACGGCAAUCAUCAAAUGGCUGCCAGAAUUAUUGGCCAAAAAUAUGGUUACGGCCUUGCUAUAUGAGUUCAAACUGCAUACAUGACUAUAUAUAUACUUAACUGGCAUGUACAAUUCACUACACUAACAACGGAAAUGCUAGAACAUUGAAGAACACUAUACAUAUAAACCACAUAUUCUGCUACGUAGGCUAUGCAGUUUAGAGAUUUGUUCUGCAUCACCAUGAAAAUGUGCUGAAUACUGACAAGUACAUGUACUGCACAGUUUCCACUCAGCACCCUCUACUGAUAGAAAGACAGUUCUCCACAUUGCUUAAGUGCGUCAAUCAAUAGCUAGAUUUCAAAACCACUCCAGCACAAAAUGUAGGAAUGUCUUUCCAAGGAGAUGUUAAAACACUCUAAUUUUGUGUCAUGUGUCACCUUUUAUAUGUACUUUAUAGCCUGCUCAUGGUAAGUGUGUCAGCUAAAUGGUUAAACAAGCUUUACUCACAUGCACCACUUAUGAAAAUUGCAGGGGCAUCCCAAGUCUCCCAUGCAGCUGAAUUAAAAUCUCAUUUUUUAAAAGUUGAAAUUCUAUACAUUUUUUUUCUGCAAAUUGACAGUGCUGGCUAAAUAACUGUUACAUAACAAAGCAAAAAAAGUUGAUAAACAUCAUUAUUGUUUUUCAUCAAGGGGGAGUAAUCAGCAAGUGGCAUUCUAUACGUUCUGUAAGUAUGUGAUAUAUAUCAUAGUGUAUACAUAUAGUAUGUAUUUCAUAAACUGGUCCAAGCAUACAGUUAAGAGGACAGAGGACAACACACCCCACUGCAUAUACAUAUGCGCACAGGUGCAUCUGUAUACUAUCUGGUCAGAAGCACAAGUGAAGUAAUGUUUAAUUUUUCAUACACGUGUGUGUGUGUGUGUUUUACACACCACGAAAAUGCUUCUUGUACUAAAUCCUGACAGUUUGGGGCGCUGUUGUUUGAUAGCCAGUUUUCAAAUAUUUUUCCUAGAUGGAGACGUCAUAAGAAAGCAUGGCUGUGUUGUUUGGCGGUGUAAGCGCGAGCGCGGUUGUUAUAUGGGUUUGACUGUGCUUUAAUGCUGGAGGGGAUCGUAUCAUGGCCUGGUGAUCACUUAUCGCUGUAAUAUCCUUUUUAUUAUCUCUUAAAAAUAUAUAUAAUAAAAAACGAAAAUAGGGCUGUCAAUCGAUCGCGGACAUGCAGACAUGUUCUGUUAUGGUGAUGUGACUGAUAUUGGCUCAGUCACGGAAACAGUCACGGAAACACGGAAACGGAAAUUUACCAAACCUGUUCGGCAGUUUGUGGUUAGUUAGGCUACGUGUUUUAUAUGAUGUGAUAACCUAUGCGAGUAAGGCGUAAGUAAGGCUUACAAGUGGGGAAGCGUAUGUGUUUUUCUGCUGGCAAAGGGCUGGGCUCUGUUAGCGGGGGUAUGAAGCAGCUACGACAUGUCCAUGUUCUGUAAGUGGAAAUAAAGUGGAAGAGUGUUGUGAUGUUCAUGUUCACAGCGAAAAAUAAGUCCAUGUCUACUUAAUAGCGAUCUCACAGGUGAAUGGCAGUGAAAGAUUAAAGGUUUUACUCCCGGCGUGUGGUGUGACGUGGGUGGAGUGUAGGUAUUUCAUGCGUCUCUUUGUAAGGGAGCGCGCAUGGCACGUUCAUGUACUGUACACAGACGGGGUCGCGCGCCACUUUUUUCUCAAGCAGUUGGGUAGAGCAAUUGUUUUUACUACAAUAUGAAGCAAAUACACAAAGAGGCAAUAAAAUGGCAUUCUUCUGCACAUGUGAAUUGAUUGGAGUGCGUUGUGGUUGGCUGGUGUUGCUGAAUUAACCUCCAGGUUACCUGGUAAUGUCAUUACUAUACCAGAAGUAUGACCUGAAGAUUUUGUAAAUAACUUAGUGUGUCUGUUUGUCUGUAUUUUUCUGGAUGUGCCCACUUAAUAAAGCAACAAUUUUGUUUGUUCACCACCAA